rnacentral:rRNA from 1 species
CCUACGGGCGGCAGCAGUGGGGAAUAUUGGACAAUGGGGGCAACCCUGAUCCAGCCAUGCCGCGUGUGUGAAGAAGGCCCUCGGGUUGUAAGGCACUUUCAGUGAGGAAGAACGCCUGGUGGUUAAUACCCAUCAGGAAAGACAUCACUCACAGAAGAAGCACCGGCUAACUCCGUGCCAGCAGCCGCGGUAAUACGGAGGGUGCGAGCGUUAAUCGGAAUUACUGGGCGUAAAGCGCGCGUAGGUGGCUUGAUAAGCCGGUUGUGAAAGCCCCGGGCUCAACCUGGGAACGGCAUCCGGAACUGUCAAGCUAGAGUGCAGGAGAGGAAGGUAGAAUUCCCGGUGUAGCGGUGAAAUGCGUAGAGAUCGGGAGGAAUACCAGUGGCGAAGGCGGCCUUCUGGACUGACACUGACACUGAGGUGCGAAAGCGUGGGUAGCAAACAGGAUUAGAUACCCCAGUAGUC